AGGUUAGGAAAUAGUCAUUGGGGAAACACAAAUUAAAAACACUGAGAUAUCAUGCUGUGACCUAAGAUUGAAGUUCUCCAUGGGAUGCUAUAGUCACUCAGCUGUGCUGUGCUUUCCUGAGGAGAUACACAG
rnacentral:snoRNA from 1 species